rnacentral:rRNA from 1 species
GAAACUUAAAGGAAUUGACGGGGGCCCGCACAAGCGGAGGAACAUGUGGUUUAAUUCGAUGAUACGCGAGGAACCUUACCUGGGCUAGAACGCAAUCGGAAUCAGGCCGAAAGGUCUGCGCCAGCGAUGGCCGGUUGCGAGGUGCUGCAUGGUUGUCGUCAGCUCGUGCCGUGAGGUGUCGGGUUAAGUCCCAUAACGAGCGCAACCCCUACUGCUAGUUGCCAGCGGGUCAUGCCGGGGACUCUAGCGGAACUGCCAGCGUAAGCUGCGAGGAAGGUGGGGAUGACGUCAAAUCAUCAUGGCCCUUAUGUCCAGGGCGACACACGUGCUACAAUGGCCGGCACAGCGGGAAGCGGAGGGGCGACCCUGAGCGGAUCCCUUGAAAGCCGGUCCCAGUUCGGAUUGCAGUCUGCAACUCGACUGCAUGAAGUUGGAAUCGCUAGUAAUCGCGGAUCAGCCAAGCCGCGGUGAAUACGUUCCCGGGCCUU